UACGUGGGAUGCAAGCGUUAUCCGGAUUUAUUGGGCGUAAAGAGUUCGUAGGCGCCUCGUAAAGUUUCGUUUGAAAAACCAAGGCUUAACUUUGGGAACGGGCGAAAAACUUAUGAGGUCGAGUGAAUUAGGGGGUACUGGAACUGACAGUGUAGCAGUGAAAUGCGUUGAUAUUGUCAGGAACACCAAGGGCGAAGGCAGGUACCUGGAAUUUAACUGACGCUGAGGAACGAAAGCUAGGGGAG
rnacentral:rRNA from 1 species